UACGAAGGGGGCUAGCGUUGUUCGGAAUUACUGGGCGUAAAGCGCACGUAGGCGGGUUGUUAAGUCAGGGGUGAAAUCCCGGAGCUCAACUCCGGAACUGCCUUUGAUACUGGCAACCUAGAGGCUGGAAGAGGUUAGUGGAAUUCCCAGUGUAGAGGUGAAAUUCGUAGAUAUUGGGAAGAACACCAGUGGCGAAGGCGGCUAACUGGUCCAGUACUGACGCUGAGGUGCGAAAGCGUGGGGAGCAAACAGG
rnacentral:rRNA from 2 species